rnacentral:misc_RNA from 1 species
UUCAGCAAUGACUCUUAACCGACUAUAACGAGUGAAAGUGCUAAGUACAGACUGAAAAUCUGCUAGUCCUUCACUGUAACCUUCUCUUUGUACGACAUCUGCAUCCUUUUCUUCCUUAACUCGCGAUUUGUUUGCCAAUUGACGUCUCUUUUGCAAGUAACAUUCUUGGAGAUCAUUGAACUGUGCAUUGACACGCUUCUUCCUAACCACAGCCAGACCUGAUUGACUCAUAUGUUGUGAGUUCAGUUCACUGAUUGAAGUAUCUUUUCUCUGUGGUCCAGGAGAGCUUAUUUGAGCUUUGCUGUCCACCUUUUUGAAUGUCAAGUUUCCAGUCGGUAAUCCUCCAGGUGCAUUUUGUGAAGUGGAGAAAAGACCACCAAAGUUCCUAUCAGUUGAUGAAGACCAAGGUUUUUUCCCAAUAGGAUCAUCUGCUAACAUUCGGAGCUUCAUUGAAUACCGGUCCCUAGCCCGGUAUAGG